GACGAACCGUGCGAACGUUAUUCGGAAUCACUGGGCUUAAAGCGCGUGUAGGCGGGAGGCACGUCCGUUGCUGAAAUCCCCCGGCUCAACCGGGGAACGGGCGCGGAUACGACGUCUCCUUGAGGGGCGUAGGGGGACCUGGAACUUCCGGUGGAGCGGUGAAAUGCGUUGAGAUCGGAAGGAACGCCCGUGGCGAAAGCGAGGUCCUGGACGCCUACUGACGCUGAGACGCGAAAGCCAGGGGAGCGAACGGG
rnacentral:rRNA from 1 species